rnacentral:rRNA from 1 species
GAUCCUGCGCCGAAAAUGUAACGGGGCUAAACACAUUACCGAAAUCGUGGAUGUACCUUAGGGUACAUGGUAGGAGAGCGUUCUAAGGACGGCGAAGCUAGACCGUAAGGACUGGUGGAGUGCUUAGAAGUGAGAAUGCCGGUAUGAGUAGCGAAAGAUCAGUGAGAAUCUGGUCCACCGUAUGACUAAGGUUUCCUGGGGAAGGCUCGUCCUCCCAGGGUUAGUCGGGACCUAAGCCGAGGCCGAGAGGCGUAGGCGAUGGAUAACAGGUUGAGAUUCCUGUACUGGUUAAACUUGUUUGAACAAUGGAGGGACGCAGGAGGCUAUC